rnacentral:rRNA from 1 species
GAUGAACGCUGGCGGCGUGCCUAAUACAUGCAAGUCGAGCGAACGGACGAGAAGCUUGCUUUUCUGAUGUUAGCGGCGGACGGGUGAGUAACACGUGGAUAACCUACCUAUAAGACUGGGAUAACUUCGGGAAACCGGAGCUAAUACCGGAUAAUAUUUUGAACCGCAUGGUUCAAAAGUGAAAGACGGUCUUGCUGUCACUUAUAGAUGGAUCCGCGCUGCAUUAGCUAGUUGGUAAGGUAACGGCUUACCAAGGCAACGAUGCAUAGCCGACCUGAGAGAGUGAUAGGCGACACUGGAGGUGGGACGCGUACCAGGCGCCUGCGGGAGGCACCAGUAGGGUAUCGGACGCAGUGGGCGAAAACCUGACGCAGCAACGCCGCGUCAGAGAUGAAGGUCUCCGGAUCGUAAAGCUCUGUUAUUGGGGAAGAACAGAUGUGUCAGUAGCUGUGCACAGCUUGACGGUACCUAAUAAGAAAGCAACGGCUAACUACGUG